rnacentral:rRNA from 1 species
GUGGGGAAUUUUGGACAAUGGGCGAAAGCCUGAUCCAGCAAUGCCGCGUGCAGGAUGAAGGCCCUCGGGUUGUAAACUGCUUUUGUACGGAACGAAAAGCCUGGGGCUAAUAUCCCCGGGUCAUGACGGUACCGUAAGAAUAAGCACCGGCUAACUACGUGCCAGCAGCCGCGGUAAUACGUAGGGUGCAAGCGUUAAUCGGAAUUACUGGGCGUAAAGCGUGCGCAGGCGGUUUUGUAAGACAGUGGUGAAAUCCCCGGGCUCAACCUGGGAACUGGCAGUGUGACUGCAAGGCUAGAGUGCGGCAGAGGGGGAUGGAAUUCCGCGUGUAGCAGUGAAAUGCGUAGAUAUGCGGAGGAACACCGAUGGCGAAGGCAAUCCCCUGGGCCUGCACUGAUGCUCAUGCACGAAAGCGUGGGGAGCAAACAGGAUUAGAAACCCGGGUAGUCC